AACGUAGGAGGCUAGCGUUAUCCGGAUUCAUUGGGCGUAAAGCGCGUGUAGGCGGUGUGCUAAGUUGGACGUGAAAUCUCUCGGCCUAACUGAGAGCGGCCGUUCAAAACUGGCGCACUUGAGGACAGGAGAGGGAGGUGGAAUUCCCGGUGUAGCGGUGGAAUGCGUAGAUAUCGGGAGGAACACACGUGGCGAAAGCGGCCUCCUGGCCUGUACCUGACGCUGAUACGCGAAAGCUAGGGGAGCAAACGGG
rnacentral:rRNA from 1 species